rnacentral:rRNA from 1 species
UACGGAGGGUGCGAGCGUUGUCCGGAAUCACUGGGCGUAAAGGGCUCGUAGGCGGCCAACUAAGUCGGAUGUGAAAUCCCCAGGCUUAACCUGGGAACUGCAUCCGAUACUGGAUGGCUUGAAUCCGGGAGAGGGAUGCAGAAUUCCAGGUGUAGCGGUGAAAUGCGUAGAUAUCUGGAGGAAUACCGGUGGCGAAGGCGGCAUCCUGGACCGGCAUUGACGCUGAGGAGCGAAAGCUAGGGGAGCAAACGGG